GAUGAACGCUAGCGGCAGGCCUAAUACAUGCAAGUCGAGGGGUAUGGGUUGCUUGCAACCCAGAGACCGGCGCACAGGUGCGUAACGCGUAUGCAAUCUACCUUAAUCAGGGGGAUAGCCCGGAGAAAUCCGGAUUAACACCGCAUAACAUUGAGUUGUGGCAUCACAGUUCAAUCAAAUAUUUAUAGGAUUAAGAUGAGCAUGCGUGACAUUAGUUAGUUGGUGAGGUAACGGCUCACCAAGACCACGAUGUCUAGGGGAUCUGAGAGGAUGACCCCCCACACUGGUACUGAGACACGGACCAGACUCCUACGGGAGGCAGCAGUAAGGAAUAUUGGUCAAUGGGCGCAAGCCUGAACCAGCCAUGCCGCGUGCAGGAAGACGGCCCUAUGGGUUGUAAACUGCUUUUGUACCGGAAUAAACCUUCUCUUGCGAGAGAAGCUGAACGUACGGUAAGAAUAAGGAUCGGCUAACUCCGUG
rnacentral:rRNA from 1 species